UACGUAGGGUGCAAGCGUUGUCCGGAUUCACUGGGUGUAAAGGGCGCGCAGGCGGGUUAGCAAGUCAGAGGUGAAAUCCUACAGCUUAACUGUAGAACUGCCUUUGAAACUGUUAAUCUUGAGUGCGGAAGAGAGAGACUGAAUUCCAGGUGUAGCGGUGAAAUGCGUAGAUAUCUGGAAGAACACCAGUUGCGAAGGCGGUCUCUUGGUCCUUUACUGACGCUCAGGCGCGAAAGCGUGGGGAGCAAACAGG
rnacentral:rRNA from 1 species